rnacentral:rRNA from 1 species
AUCGUGACCAGAAUGUGCUGGAAAGCACAGCCAUAGCGGGUGACAGCCCCGUAUGGGAAGCGUGAUAAGACGUAUCAAGUAGGGCGGGACACGUGAAAUCCUGUCUGAAGAUCGGAGGACCACCUUCGAAGGCUAAGUACUCCUGACUGACCGAUAGUGAACCAGUACCGUGAGGGAAAGGCGAAAAGAACCCCUGUGAGGGGAGUGAAAUAGAUCCUGAAACCGUGUACGUACAAGCAGUGGGAGCCCCUUCGUGGGGUGACUGCGUACCUUUUGUAUAAUGGGUCAGCGACUUACAU